AUUGAACGCUGGCGGCAUGCUUUACACAUGCAAGUCGAACGGCAGCGCGGGCUUCGGCCUGGCGGCGAGUGGCGAACGGGUGAGUAAUACAUCGGACGUGCCCAGUAGUGGGGGAUAGCUCGGCGAAAGCCGGAUUAAUACCGCCUACGACCUUAGGGUGAAAGCGGGGGAUCUUCGGACCUCGCGCUAUUUGAGCGGCCGAUGGCAGAUUAGCUAGUUGGUGGGGUAAAGGCCUACCAAGGCGACGAUCUGUAGCUGGUCUGAGAGGACGACCAGCCACACUGGGACUGAGACACGGCCCAGACUCCUACGGGAGGCAGCAGUGGGGAAUUUUGGACAAUGGGCGAAAGCCUGAUCCAGCAAUGCCGCGUGUGUGAUGAAGGCCUUCGGGUUGUAAAGCACUUUUGGCGGGAACGAAAAGGACUGUGCCAAUACCACGGUUCGAUGACGGUACCCGCAGAAUAAGCACCGGCUAACUACGUG
rnacentral:rRNA from 1 species